GCAUGAUCCUGCUUGGUAGUGGGUGCAGGCUUCAAACCUGUAGGGG
rnacentral:tRNA from 16 species